rnacentral:rRNA from 1 species
AUUGAACGCUGGCGGCAGGCCUAACACAUGCAAGUCGAACGAGUGGCGGACGGGUGGGUAAUGACUGUGAAACGGCCCGAUGGAGGGGGAUCACUACUGGAAACGAUAACUAAUACCGCAUACCAUCGGAUGUGCCGAGAUGGGAUUAGCUAGUGGGUGGGGUAAAGGCUCACCAAGGCGACGAUCCCUAGCUGGUCUGAGAGGAUGACCAGCCACACUGGAACUGAGACACGGUCCAGACUCCUACGGGAGGCAGCAGUGGGGAAUAUUGCACAAUGGGCGCAAGCCUGAUGCAGCCAUGCCGCGUGUAUGAAGAAGGCCUUCGGGUUGUAAAGUACUUUCAGUGUGGAGGCGUUACUCGCAGAAGAAGCACCGGCUAACUUCGUGCCAGCAGCCGCGGUAAUAC